rnacentral:misc_RNA from 1 species
CGCGUUUGGCUUCCUUCAAAGGAUUUGAUAAUUUCGUGGUGGUGAUGAUGGCACGCGAAUUUCUUGUUAUCGUUCCAUGUAAAGCGCUAAUUGGUGUCAAUCCCAGUGUGAGAGUUAGCUGCCAUUAAGGUCGGACCGUGUCUGAUGCAGGAAUGCUUAUAAAUCGAAUUUCGUCCUUGCUAGGAAGCGGAGAGUUUAGCGGGCGUCAUGUGCGGAUUUAAGUUGAUGACUUCCUUUCCUUGAUGCUGGAGUGUACAUAUGCAUGGAGCGCACGAUUUUGGAAGCAAUUCAAAUGGGAAGCCGCAAUGAGAUGAUAAUAAAGGUUCGAAUGUAUAGGAGAAGAUAAAACGGUAACGCAACGGAACAAAAGCGGAUUGGUGACGAGGAAGUCUUUCAACUGGUUGUGUUCACACGGCAAAUAAUUAAACAGUGGCAGUGAGCUGGUGUGAGUGUUAAUAGUGGCAAUUGUGUCUUGCUCCUUUGUUGACAAUAGGGACAACAUCCGUUCCAUUAUUUUUAUGAGAGCCCACCCUUUCAACGUAAUGUAAGGUAACUGUUAUUAUCAUUAUUAUUUCUCAGUAAUUGGGACACUAAAGGCCCCAGCCUCGUUGGAGAACUUCCCGAACGAACUCAGCAUACGAACCAGUAGCACGGCUUAGUGUUUUUAAAGGAAAUAAUCUAAUAAUAGUUAAAUAUAAGUAAAUAAAUGUGAAAUUGUGUGUUAAAAACAACGGAAAAAGAUAUAUAAUUUUUCUAUGUCGUCUAAUCGAUUUUCGAAUGGGCUCGAGGCAUAAUAGCGAUUUAUGUCUUCGUUGCCUCGUACGCAAAACGCUCUAGCAGUCAUGAGGUUCGGUGAUCAUUUGAAGGCUCUCAUUUGGGCCACACACCUUCUUCCUCUAGUCGCAGCGGUAUCCGAGGCCGACUACACCUUGGACGAUUCCUUCUGGAAUGAAGAAAGUCCAGUUGGUGAAGUCGAGCGACUGCUUAAGGAGUACCGUGAAAAUCAGGAGCUAGUGCGGAGGAUAGGUGGCCAUUAUUAUCAGAUCAUUUAUCCGGUACAGUUGCGACAUCACGAAAAGAUGGGCAUAUCAACACGUGAAGUGAGCGCAGCUAAGUCAGGUCAGCGUCAAGGGAGACCUCAUGACAGCACGGACAGCGGAUAUAGCAGAGCGCGGACAAGGACUGGGAAACAUUUCCAUCGAACCUCGCUUUUGAUUAAGGCUUUUAAUCAUAAGUUUCGUUUGGAUUUGGAAUUAAAUUCACAACUCCUUGCGCCCAACAUCCAACAAAAGCAUUUCCAUGCGGGUGGAUACCAGGUGGAUGGUAAUCGUCACGACAUCGAACACUGUUACUAUCACGGCACUGUCAAAGAUUAUCCUGGAGCAAGUGCAGCCUUUCACACAUGCAACGGAGUUAGUGGCGUCAUUCAUGUGGGAAAUGAAACGUUUGUGAUACACCCGUUUUACGGCGGCGAUCUUUCGCAGAAGCACCCGCAUGUCAUUUUCGAGGCUCGAACGAAAGCCAAUAAGGGUUGUGCAAAUACAGGCCACUUAAAAUGGCGCAAUGUACGACGACUACUGCCACCCGUUUCGGAAAUUGUCGAGGAACCACAUCCAAAUGGUGCCGGUCGGUAUAAACGUGACGUUCGCGAAGCAACAAAGUACAUUGAAACCGCAAUAUUUGUUGAUAAAGCCAUGUUCGAAAAGAGAAACGGAAGUACAAGGGCACAGGUGAUACACGACGCGAUACAAGUAGCAAAUAUUGCUGAUUUGUACUUUCGGACGCUGAACACUCGCGUGUCUGUCGUUUACAUUGAAACCUGGGGAAAGAAUCAAAUCGUUAUAAACACCACGAACAUCAGUCAGACCCUGAACCGAUUGAACGAGUACGCCCAGCGGUAUACCAUCAACAAAGUGGAACGGGACACAACUCAGCUUCUUACUGGUGAAACGUUUGCCGGGGGAGAAGCUGGCAUGGCCGUGCCCGACACUGUGUGCACCCCAAAGGCAGUAGGGAUCAGCGUGGAUAUCAACGUCUAUGAACCCCACCUACUAGCCGGGACUAUGGCUCAUAUGAUCGGGCACAACAUUGGUAUGGGACACGAUGAUGGACGUGAAGAGUGCUUUUGUCGAGACUGGCACGGAUGCAUAAUGGCACAAUCUAUUGUUGGAUUGGAAAAUGUUCAACCAUACAAAUUUUCCGAGUGCAGUAAAACGGAUUAUUUCGAUGCUUUGCGCGGCGGCCAUGGUCUAUGCUUGCUGAAUAAACCGAACGAGAUCGAAAUGAAUCGAAACUGCGGCAACAAAAUCGUAGAAGACGACGAGGAAUGCGAUUGUGGCUCAACAGAGGAAUGCCUCAAGGAUCCAUGCUGCGACCCGAUUACAUGCAAGCUGAAGCUGGAAUCACAAUGCGCAGAGGGACCGUGCUGCGAGAACUGCAAGCUGAAGCAGCAGGGUGUUAUGUGUCGCGAUUCGACCAACGAGUGCGAUUUACCGGAAUACUGCGAUGGACAGAGUGGCGACUGUCCUGCGGACGUUUUCAAAAAGAACGGGUCGCCCUGCGGCUUGAGCAAAUCCGGAACAGCUGGCUAUUGCUUUCAAGGCUAUUGUCCAACAUUAUCGCUACAAUGCGAAGCAAUUUGGGGCUACGGGAGCACAGCAGCCGAUCAUCAAUGCUAUGAACAAUUCAACACGAAAGGCUCACCCAAUGGCCAUUGUGGCGUGGACAACUAUGUCAACUACAUAAAAUGCGCACCCGAGAACAUACUGUGCGGCUCGUUACAAUGUAAGGAGGGCGAACGGCAACCACCCGGCUUUGAUGACCCGUCACAACUUAUCCUUAGGACAAUUGUAUCAAUUAAAGGAGUGGAGUAUGAAUGCAAGACAAAUAAUGGAAAAAUCGGCUCAAACGAAUUUCCCGAGCACGGAGUUGUCAAGGAUGGUACGCCCUGCGGUGAAAAUUUAAUUUGCGUUAAUAGGACUUGUGUCAGCUUGUUUCCACACAUCGAUCAAACAAAAUGUCCUUCAAAUAAAAUGGGCUACGAGUGUUCGGAUCACGGUGUCUGCACAAAUAUGAACUCAUGCUUCUGUGACGUAGGAUGGGGAGGACUGGAUUGCUCAGUACCAAUUGCUCUGACAACAAGUACCACGCUAGCUCCGUCAGGCACCACACAGGGAAGUUCAAUUAAAAUGGAAAAGAAAGAAACGGCUUACGCGAAUUACCAUGGUUCAAAUACAGUAUUUUUAGUUGGUGUACUUAUGUCUGUAGUUGGGUUCGUUUUUGUAACGUUCACCCUAAUGGCAUUGUGCUACAGGUCAGUUGUAGUACAUAGAAACUUCUCCCUGUGUCUGAGGCAUUCACAAACAAGACGAAAAACAACUCGUUUAAAAUAUGAUCAACCUUACAACAAGAAGCCGAUGGCGAAGGCAUAUGGCGGAGCCGGUACCACUGCCAAUCACACUUCAGUCGAAGAAGUCUCCCUGGAUGGCUCCAACAAACUGACAGGAUAUGGAAACCAAACAGGAUACAGGGAUCAUAAACUGCAACAGAUAAUCCGAAUGGCCGGUUCGGGUAGUGAAGAAGAUCAGACGGUGACAGUUCUAAUCAACAAUUAGCACAAUCACAGAAAACAGCAACUAUACUUCCGUCUUAUAGUAGUCGAUGUCGUCCACGUUCCGAUGAUGAGAGUCGCUUCGUCUAUGGAAGUGAUGACUUUAUUCAAGCUCAACAACAAUUAGCCCGGUGGGCGAGUGAGGAUGUAGUUUCCGUGGUGGUGCAGGAUCCCGGAACAUCAUCGGAUAUCCACCCACAUCAAAGCGUCGGAUCC